GACGAACGCUGGCGGCGUGCUUAACACAUGCAAGUCGAACGGAAAGGCCCUGCUUGCAGGGUGCUCGAGUGGCGAACGGGUGAGUAACACGUGGGUGAUCUGCCCCUUAUUUUGGGAUAAGCCUGGGAAACUGGGUCUAAUACUGGAUAGGACCAUGCUGUAGGUGGUGUGGUGGAAAGAUUAGUUUCGGUAAGGGAUGAGCUCGCGGCCUAUCAGCUUGUUGGUGGGGUAAUGGCCUACCAAGGCGUCGACGGGUAGCCGGCCUGAGAGGGUGGACGGCCGCAUUGGGACUGAGGUACGGCGCAGACUACUACGGGAGGAAGCAGUGGGGAAGAGUGCACCAUGGGGGCAAGCCGGAUGCAGCGACGACGCGUGGGGGAUGACGGCCUUCGGGUUGUAAGCUCCUUGCAGCCAUGAAGAAGCCCUUGUGGUGACGGUAGUGGUAGAAGAAGCACCGGCUAACUACGUG
rnacentral:rRNA from 1 species